rnacentral:tRNA from 2 species
GCCCUGGUACCCCAACCGGUUAGAGGGACGGUGCUCAAACCACCGACAGUGUGGGUUCGAAUCCCACCCAGGGCA